rnacentral:tRNA from 1 species
GGCGCAUUCGUCUAGCGGUAAGGACGCCGGCCUCUCACGCCGGUAACACGGGUUCGAUUCCCGUAUGCGCUA